AAGACGUAAUACAAUUAAAAAUUUUGAGAAUUCCUUUGAAGUAUUAGAAUAUAACUCUCCAUGGUAUUGAUGCUUUUGUAAUUGUGAUAAUAAGUACUCGAGAAUCAUUAGCUGUAGUUCCCAUCCAGCAUACACAAAGAUGAAUUUAAUAUCAAAUCACAUGUCAUCAUCACAUUUUGUGUUAUAUUAAUUUUCCAUACACUAAAGUUGUUUGUCUCGAUAGGGGUGUCCAAGCAAAAAUAUAUGUCCUACUAUUGUGCCUACAUAAUCAUGUAAUGUGAUAGCAAAUGAGAAUUUAUUUGUAAU
rnacentral:lncRNA from 1 species